UGGGGAAUUGUUCGCAAUGGGCGCAAGCCUGACGACGCAACGCCGCGUGGAGGAUGAAGGUCUUCGGAUUGUAAACUCCUGUUGCCCGGGACGAAUAGCUUCGACCUAAUACGUCGGAGUAUGACGGUACCGGGUGAGGAAGCCCCGGCUAACUCUGUGCCAGCAGCCGCGGUAAUACAGAGGGGGCAAGCGUUGUUCGGAAUUACUGGGCGUAAAGGGCGCGUAGGCGGCCUGUUAAGUCGAACGUGAAAUCCCUGGGCUUAACCCAGGAACUGCGUCCGAUACUGGCUGGCUUGAAUCCGGGAGAGGGAUGCGGAAUUCCAGGUGUAGCGGUGAAAUGCGUAGAUAUCUGGAGGAACACCGGUGGCGAAGGCGGCAUCCUGGACCGGUAUUGACGCUGAGGCGCGAAAGCCAGGGGAGCAAACGGGAUUAGAUACCCCCGUAGUCCCUGAGCGGGCUGGCAAGGCGCAU
rnacentral:rRNA from 1 species